GAAAACAACCACCCUCAUAUAGGGUUUCCUAAUUGUUGCUCUCAUGUUCUCCAUCUUGUAAUGUAUACUCUGAGAGACCAUGUCAAUCGGCACUUCUGAGUGCUUCUGCAUCUUGAAAUUGCCCGUAAAGGUGACCAUUGUUUUUAUUGUUGUCCUCCAGUGGGAGCUUUGGAUCCUAAGGGUCUCAUAUGGGAGCUGAGUUGAACAUUUGCGUGCAACAUCAUAUGUAGGUCCUUCUGAGGGGUUGUUAAUGUCCCUGCUAUUCUUCCGGUGAGUUCCAGUCUCAAAUGUCUUGCCAUAUUUCUUGAUCUGGCUCCCACGGCCCCUACUUUUGAUAAAGACUCCCUUUUUAAGCUACCAUAGUUAAAGCUCAGUAGCUUAUUUUGUCUCCUUGCAGUGUAAAAACCUUUGUUAUUAGACCCAUGUUUAUGAUUUGAAUAUCUAAGCAUCCCUUU